GGCAAGUUGCCAAAUGAUAUUAGAGUACGGGUUGUACAUUUCAUCACUUGGUUAGUGGCAUGAAUGAGAGUACGGGUUGUAGAUUUCAUCACCUAGUUGGUGGCAUGAAAAUGAGUUCCUUAUUCACCUGGUUGGUAACAUGAGUGACAAGUUGCCAAAUGAUAUUAGAGUACGGGUUGUACAUUUCAUCACCUGGUUAGUGGCAUUAAUGAGAGUACGGGUUGUACAUUUCAUCACCUAGUUGGUGGCAUAAAGAUGAGUUCCUUCUUUACAUUUCAUCACCUGGUUGAUGAGAAUAAGGGCAAGGUGUCUAGGCACAUUGUAGCAAGUGUCGAAUGACACAAAGUAUGUUGAACCCUUUCAAAGCAUAAUUGGCUUAUGUAUGAAUGUGUUGGAGUGUAUGAUUGAACGAAUAUACUGUGAAGCUGUUCGUUUAUUUGUAUAGUCUUGUUGACAUAUACUUAGACUUUGUUUCCUGUUGGAAGCAUUCAUGUUGAAGCUUUGAACCUGAGUGUUUCAUUGCUAGGAAUGUAAGAAGAUUAGGACCGAGUUGUCUAAAUCACCUCUUUAUUGAAUUCAUGCCAAAUAGUCUUCGUUACAUAGGAUGCCGAACAGCUGAAGCUUAACACUUGUACAAUGUGGGUUUACUUGUAAUAGUACUUCAAGUGAUCAGCGUUUCAUGGAUGGCCAAGGGUCUUGCCAUCGGAGCUUCUAAGCUUGUAAG
rnacentral:lncRNA from 1 species